rnacentral:misc_RNA from 1 species
GUAGGUGAACCUGCGGAAGGAUCAUUACCGAGUACCGGGUCUUCGGGCCCAUACUCCCACCCUUUGUGUACCUACCUGUUUUCGUUGCCUCGGCGGGGUCGAUCCCAAGGGCCCACCGCCCGCGGGGGACCCGCCGGGGGGACACACCAAAACUCCUGUCAACAGUGACGUCUGAGCAAAAAAUAAACUAGUUAAAACUUUCAACAACGGGUCUCUUGGUUCUGGCAUCGAUGAAGAACGCAGCAUCUGA